CUAAGGUGGGCCCUGACCAAUCAUCUUACACAGGCACCUAAAGGGUGUUUCACCAUUAAAUUCCCUGUUUUGCAACUAAGGGCAUUUAGCUCAAGGAAGCCUGCAGGUGAUGUCAUAGUGGGUUCCCAUGGCAACACUGAGGUCUUUAGACCCCCCAUGUGGUCAACUCUUAUUGCAAAACCUUUGCAACUAAGUCAUUGAACUCCAAGGAGGAUGAUGUCACAAUGGGUUUCCAUGGCAACACUGAUGUCACAAUACCAGCCGUGUGUGCGUAACUGUUACAACUUGGGGAAACACUUCAGAUUGCUUUUUAGAGCAGAAGAGGUAAGUUGUCCCUGCUAUGGGCUCCUCCCUGUUCCAAUUCUAAUUUGUUUUAAUUAACUAGAAAAGAUACUUUUUACUCUAAAUACUUAGGCCGCUCCUAUGAAUUAGAUUUCAGUAUGAAACGUUGCGCUCUACAUUGCCCCAUAUCUAAGCAUUUAUUUCCAUUAAACAAACAGGGAUAUGUAUAAAUAUAUGGGGAACCUAAUGCCCCACAGACUGACCCCCAAUAAUCACUGCCGGGGUUUUUCUCACAUUAUUCGCUGUGUUUUUACUUACUAAUUGCUGUGUUUCUCUUUCCUUCCAUAUAACAACAGUUUUGACCGUCUGCAACAAUGGCAUCAAGACUCUGCGACAGUUUCCUUGACUGUGUCCUUGACUGCGUGCGGGGUCUCUGCACGCGUCUCGGCUACAGCAAGAAGACUGAAAAAUGCCCUAAAUGGGAAGCAGUCCUCUACGUCGUUGAGGAUGAAUCAAUAACUUUCAUCCCUACGAGGAUAAUUAAUUAGGUUUAGGUUAAUAGGUUAGGUUAGGAAA